rnacentral:rRNA from 1 species
GACGAACGCUGGCGGCGUGCUUAACACAUGCAAGUCGAACGGUGAAGCGCCUUCCUUUUUGGUGGGUGUGGAUGAGUGGCGAACGGGUGAGUAACACGUGAGUAACCUGCCCCCUUCUUCUGGAUAACCGCAUGAAAGUGUGGCUAAUACGGGAUAUUCUGGGUCUGUCGCAUGAUGGGUCUGGGAAAGAUAUUGUUUCGGUGGGGGAUGGGCUCGCGGCCUAUCAGCUUGUUGGUGGGGUGAUGGCCUACCAAGGCGGUGACGGGUAGCCGGCCUGAGAGGGUGGACGGUCACAAUGGGACUGAGACACGGCACAGACUCCUACGGGAGGCAGCAGUGGGGAAUAUUGCACAAUGGGCGCAAGCCUGAUGCAGCGACGCCGCGUGAGGGAUGGAGGCCUUCGGGUUGUGAACCUCUUUCGCCAGUGAAGCAGGCCUGCCUCGUUUGUGGGUGGGUUGACGGUAGCUGGAUAAGAAGCGCCGGCUAACUACGUG